GCUGGUUCGAGGCACAGAGGACAAGACUGGUUUGUCUGCAACCUCCUCUGCAAACAUUGCCUCAGCUUCUGGAGGAGAACUGAACUGUGUGUGCCCAGCACUGUGUGGAAAGAGGAAUCAACCUGCCUGCAUCCACAAAAGCAAAAUGCUGCGUGCGUUGGGGAUGUUAUUGAGAGCAGAUGAAAGGCUUCCGGACUAGGAAAUACUGGGCGUGUGAAUUUUUGUCUCAGACUGGUGUGCCAUGUUCAUUCUUCUGAUAAGACUUUGUGGCAAAUGGAGGAGAACCAAAUCCCCCAACUACUUAGAAAUUAAAGCUAUACACUAGUGCAACAUCUACAGCAUUCUUAUAUAUAUUUAUAUGUAUAUA
rnacentral:lncRNA from 1 species